rnacentral:rRNA from 1 species
GAUGAACGCUGACAGAAUGCUUAACACAUGCAAGUCUUUGGCGAAGUUGUGCUUGCACAGCCUAGCCAAGGCGGACGGGUGAGUAACGCGUAAGGAACUUGCCCUGCAGUCAGGGAUAACAGAUGGAAACGACUGAUAAGACCUGGUAAAGUCAGGCGGACUCAUGUCCAGCCUGAUGAAAAGAGAUGCUGCAGGAGAGCCUUGCGUCCUAUUAGCUUGUUGGUGGGGUAACGGCCCACCAAGGCGAUGAUAGGUAGCCGGCCUGAGAGGGUGGACGGCCACAAGGGGACUGAGAUACGGCCCUUACUCCUACGGGAGGCAGCAGUGGGGAAUAUUGGACAAUGGGGGCAACCCUGAUCCAGCAAUUCUGUGUGCACGAUGAAGGUUUUCGGAUUGUAAAGUGCUUUCAGCAGGGAAGAAAAAAAUGACGGUACCUGCAGAAGAAGCGACGGCUAAAUACGUGCCAGCAGCCGCGGUAAUACGUAUGUCGCAAGCGUUAUCCGGAAUUAUUGGGCAUAAAGGGCAUCUAGGCGGCCAGAUAAGUCUGGGGUGAAAACUUGCGGCUCAACCGCAGGCCUGCCCUGGAAACUAUGUGGCUAGAGUACUGGAGAGGUGGACGGAACUGCACGAGUAGAGGUGAAAUUCGUAGAUAUGUGCAGGAAUGCCGAUGAUGAAGAUAGUUCACUGGACGGUAACUGACGCUGAAGUGCGAAAGCUAGGGGAGCAAACAGG